rnacentral:ncRNA from 2 species
UACUUUUGCGACGCUUUUGGUUUCCGGCUAUACAACCGGAAUUAAAAGGGAAUACAGUGUAAUUCUGUAACUGUCCCGCAGCUGUAAGCUUCAUAACGGUUUUUCAUUCAUUUCGCCACUGUUUCAGUUUUGAAGCGGGAAGGCCGGAAAGCCGGGAGUAAGUCAGAAGACCUGCCUUUAGCGUAUAAUUUCA